GUUCCAAGUGGUCUACAAAGUAGAAGAGAUAUUCCAUUCUUUACUCCAAUAACAGUCAUAAUAUAGUUACAUCCAUGUUUUAAAAUGAAUUCUUUAUGUAAUAUAUGUAUAUAUUCUCUACAAAAUAGUUGUCCCUGUUUCUUCUUCAUAUUUUCUCACUUUUUUAUAUAAUUCAGUACAAUUAUUUCCUAACGUGCUGUGUGUAGUAGCAAUUACUUUUAUGAAAUGCCAAUAUUUACACCUGUAAUUUUGUGGCUUAUAAAAAGUAAAGCAUAGCUGUUUGUGUUUGAAGAGGGCUAAAGCUUUGCACAGUGAGUCUGGAAUAAUUUCUUAGGCACUGCAUUUUAAAAUCUGCUCUUCGCAUCUUUGGGAGAAAUUAUGACAGUGAUAUAUUCUCUAUAUUGGAAGACUGAUUUUCCUCUGUUGUAAAUGUGUCCCCAAACUGAUGUAGUAAAGCACCCUAUUCCAUCAUGCAAGGACAUUGUUUUUGAGCCAUGCCAGGAGCAAGAAAGGAAGUUUUGAUGCAUAAAAUUUUGAAGUGAAUUAUGAGCUGCAUGAUUACAAAAGUUAAGGGAGUUAAAUUAUUAAAGUUACUCAAAGAUCAACCAGUUACAGAAGCAGUCACUUAAUUCAUUUGUGAACCUGUCUUGCUAAAGUCAAUCUCAUACAUAAUGAACAUUUCUGAGGGAAUAACCAUAAAGCAAAAUGAAUAUCGCUAGGUAUCUAAACAUAACAGGAACAUUGUGAAGUGACAUUGCCUUGUAUGAGGAUUUUAAUGUCUGUAAUUAUUUGUUCUGCAUUUGUUUCUCACUUGCAACUGGUUUUUCUCAGAGUUUAAAACAAACAAAACAACAACAACAAAAAGCAACAAAACACCAAAACUCUGUCCCUACUGCUUUUAGGGUAUACAUGAUGUGUGGUUUAACUUCGAAUAAUCGGGUCUGUGCGUAUAACAUUAAAAGAAAGUUGUGCAUACUGUUAGAAAAUGGACAGGACAGUGAUUGCAUGCAACUUUGA
rnacentral:lncRNA from 1 species